rnacentral:lncRNA from 1 species
AUGGGCUGAACGCUCCCUUUGUGCCAGGGGAUGUGUUGCACGAUCCUUUCGGCAGCUUGACCAACGAUCGGUGCGGCGCGGUUCGGUACACCUUCUGUCCUCGCCUCCUCCGCGAAGUGUUCUACGACCGCAACAGCCGCAACUGUGUUGAGGUCACGACGGCUGCUGAGCACGAGGCGGUAAAGGAAGUGGCGUCUAGGGCAGCGGCCCGCUACUACCACACUAGUGUGGACAAGGACCUGGCCCCGCUCUGCAACAGCAGUCCGAACCGCUUCUCUUCGCUCGAGAGCUGUCGCCAAAGCUGCCAGCGGAGUGAGGUGCCCGCGGAGCGCUGCUUCGACAAGGCCCUCUUCUCGGAAUGCCGCAGAGAACACGUGCUGUCCACGCGGUGGUACUUCGACGGACUCCGGUGCCGCGAGUGGCAUUUCCCUGCCGGUCGCUGUCCCGCUGCGCGAGCUUUCCGCAGCCGAGCACAUUGCGCAAGUGCUUGCGCAGCAUCAUCAGCUAA